rnacentral:rRNA from 1 species
UUAACACAGCAGUCCGAACGCACUUCGGGAGAGUGGCAGACGGGUGAGUAACACGUGGGAACGUGCCUCCGGUCGGGUAACCCUGGGAAACUAGGGCUAAUACCGGUACGUGCUUUGGCAGAAAGGUUUACUGCCGGAGGUCGGCCCGCGUCUGUUAGCUAGUUGGUGGGGUAACGGCCUACCAAGGCGACGAUCAGUAGCUGGUCUGAGAGGAUGAUCAGCCACACUGGGACUGAGACACGGCCCAGACUCCUACGGGAGGCAGCAGUGGGGAAUAUUGGACAAUGGGCGCAAGCCUGAUCCAGCCAUGCCGCGUGAGUGAUGACGGCCUUAGGGUUGUAAAGCUCUUUUCUCCGGGACGAUAAUGACGGUACCGGAGGAAUAAGCCCCGGCUAACUUCGUGCCAGCAGCCGCGGUAAUA